AAACCCCUACUCACUUUCUUGGCAGCUCAAAACCGCAAGCAAAAGGAGGCAGCGAAGAAAAAAAAAGCUACAUGCAUUCACGGAAGCUGACUGCUUUUUUCUGAAUUACUUGGUGGAAAGAAGUGGCUGGUGAUAAGAGUGAAUGCGUAUUGCUUUUUUGGAAAGUCUGUUCUAUUUAUACAGGAGCGAAAACGGAACAGGUUUGGGUUGUUUGUUUGUUUAAGUAUUUUGGGCACCUUGGGACUGGGAGGGUAAACCCUAGGAGGAGCAGAAUUACUGUGGGGAGCUUCGAGAGAAAUCCUCAGCCGGAGACACCCUCCUUCCUCUGCCCGCGCGCUCCCCGCCCCCCUUCAGCUGCUGCGCGGAGCGGGCGCCCUUCCCGGCGCGUCUGGGCGGUCGGCUGCGUGGGGGCGUCCAGAUGGAAGCUUGGACACUCACCCUGCCCCUCCAGACACACAUACACACACACUCACACUCGCUCCACUUCCGCUACACACUCCCGCCCCCGCUGCCCUCUUCACACACCCGCUCACACACCUUACACUACACACCUCCCUGUUGACUGCGUCCGCGCGCCGUCGUUGCCAGCAGUGUCCCGGCGGCAGAGCGGGCUCCGGGCUCGCUGGACAGGAGGUUCUAUGAAGACACUGGCCUAACCUUCACUACCGGUCCCUGCAGCCACAGAAUCCCCCUGACCCCCAUAGCCCAGGAUCCAGGACCGCGCCCUGCCCGCACCCGAGCCAGAAUACACGUACUAGAAUAAAUAUUUUCUCUCCCUCCC
rnacentral:lncRNA from 1 species